UACGGGGGGUGCAAGCGUUGCUCGGAAUUACUGGGCGUAAAGCGCACGCAGGCGGGUCAUUAAGUCGGAUGUGAAAGCCCAGGGCUCAACCCUGGAACUGCAUUCGAAACUGGUGGCCUUGAGUACGGGAGAGGGAAGCGGAAUUCCUGGUGUAGAGGUGAAAUUCGUAGAUAUCAGGAGGAACACCAGCGGCGAAAGCGGCUUCCUGGCCCGAUACUGACGCUAAUGUGCGAAAGCGUGGGGAGCAAACAGG
rnacentral:rRNA from 1 species